CUCUCUACUCGCCCAUGCUCCCUUCAUCCUCACCCAUCCCAUCAUUAAUUUUUUUUCACCUGUCAUUCAUUUUUUCCUCUCUUUUUCUCUCUCCUCACUCACGAUCCCUUCAUUGUCAUCCAUCGUUUUAUUUUCCCUCAUUAUUUUUCUCUCAUCUUUCCUCACUCUGAUGAAAGCUUCCUCCAUCAUCCGGUGAUGGCAGAUGGCAACAUCCAUCGUCAUGGCGACGCUGGUGAUUCAACAACUGGUGGCAGCGGGUGAGACCAAAGAGGCCACUAAAACUCAGCUCCCAUUAUCUCGCCUAUGCAGACAUCUUCCCCAGCUCCUUAUGUAUUAAGGAAAAAAGAAGUCACGCCUCUGUUAAACUAAACAAAUUAGUAAAUGAGCCCAACUCUAGUUGAGAUUGAGUUCCAUCAUUGUCAACUAAAUCGAGUUUGGGCUAACUUUUGAAGCUCAGCUGGAGCUCGAAUCGAGCUCAAGUUGAGCAAAAUACGAGUGGAGCCAAGUUUGAGUUGGCUGAGCUUGAGCUCGACUCAGCUCGUGUGCAGCCCUACUUUUUCUUUCGCCAUUCUGAUAACCCUGGUGUAUUGUUGGUGAACCAAAAAUUGAAUGGAGACAACUAUGACACAUGGAGCAGAUCACUGUUGAUGGCACUUGCUGCAAAGAACAAGAUAGCCUUCAUUGAUGGUUCAAUACAUGUUCCAUAUCUUGGUCAGUUAACUCUCUCAGUCAUGAUAUUGCUAGCAUCGUUAUCUAUGCCACCAUUGCACAGGAGGUAUGGUCAGAUCUCUGUGAAAGGUUUACACAAAGUGUAGCACCACGUAAAUUUCAGAUUAAGAGCACCAUAAAUGAACUUGUUCAAGAAUUAAUGUUUGUUUUAGCAUAUUAUACUAAGUUGAAAUCUUACUGGGAUGAGUUGGCUUCC